GCUCCCUUCGUAAACCUAAUUAAAUUAAAGUUCUCUCUGCUCUGCUCUGCUCUCAUCGUCUUCUUCCUUGAGAGGCGAUUUGUUGAUUCACUCCCGACGAAAUCAAGUUCAAGAGAAGAAUCAAUCAAUCUCUUGCGAGGAGAGAUCCACAGUCUCUAGAUAAGUUCUCUUCGCUUAUUUUAUAUGAGGAUUUCUAGAUCUUUCUUUGCCUUUUUUGAUUUUAUCCCGUUUUAGGGUUUUCAAUUUCCGUCGUAUUGACUCUGUUUUGUUCUUUUUAUCCUUUAGCGACGAUCAAUCACUUCCCAGUUCCCAUGAAAUCGCCAUCUCUAGGGUUUUUGUUUCUCCGUGUUUCAGUCGGGAUAAUUCAGGGGAUGAAGUCGAUCAAGCCUUUGCCUAAGGGUGUUCAUCACUCCAAGCGUUCUGGAAUUAUGAUGUUUGACAUGACGAGGAAGGUCGUGGAGGAACUCGUGUUCAACAAUCUCGAUGCGACCAAGGUUUCUAUCUUCGUGGGUGUUGUUUCGUGCUCUGUCAAGGUUGUGGAUGAUGGAUCAGGCGUUUCCAGAGAUGAUUUGGUUUUGUUGGGAAAAAGAUGCACCACUUCAAAGUUUCAUGAUUUGGAGUCAGCCAGUGAAAAUUUUGGAUUCCAUGGAGGGGCGUUAGCGUUAGCUUCGAUAUCAGAUAAUCUCGUUACUGGAAAUCAGGACAAAUAUAUUGGGAAGCCUAAUGGUUAUCGAAAGGUAUGGGAUGACUUUGAUGCUACUCAAUACUCCUACAUAGUUUGUGUGGCGUUAGGUUAUAAUUAUGGUUUUAAAACAAAAAUCUUACUUUCUUUGAUUUUAGUAUUUUCGGUUAUAGGUUUUCAACUUAACGUCUACUGGGUUUCAAAAUCGUUUACUCUGCCUAUAGUUUUGUGUGUGUCUGUGUUCCUUAUAGGUUUGGUUUUAUCUGGUGUAUCAUACGUUUUUGAUUGCUUGCCAAUUAACUAGUCACACGUUCACUCAUAUGAUGAGCUAGUCAUAACUACAAUUGUUAUGUAUUGGUAUGCAAAUACUCCUUGUCUUGUUUCUAUCGAGGUAAUCUAAAUUACCUCUCUGCUUGUCCCUGUCCCUUGAAUGCAUGGGGGUUCCUAGUCACCUUAAAAUACAAAUGCCUCGGUUUGGCUGAGGUAAUAUAAAUUACCUCUCUGCUUGUCCCUGUCCCUACUGUCCCUGUCCCUUGAAUGCAUAUGGGUUCCUAGUCACCUGAGCAAAGAAACAAAUGCCUCGGUUUGGCUGAGGUAAUUUUAAUUACCUCUCAGCUUGUCCCUAUCGGUAUAAUUGUCCCUGUCCCUUGAAAUGUAUUCAGGUUCCUAGUCACCUGAGCAAAGAAACAAAUGCCUCGGUUUGGCUGAGGUAAUUUUAAUUACCUCUCAGCUUGUCCCUGUCCCUAUCGGUAUGAUUGUCCCUGUCCCUUGAAUGCAUACGGGUUUCUCGUCACCUGAGCAAAGAAAACAAAUGCCUCGGUUUGGCUGAGGUAAUUUAAAUUACCUCUUUGUCCCUGUCCCUAUAGGUUUGGUUGUCCCUGUCUCUAUAAUGCAUUCAGGUUCCUAGUCACCUGAGCAAAGAAACAAAUGCCUCGGUAAGGUUGAGGUAAUCUAAAUUACCUCGCUGAUUGUCCCUGUCCCUAGAAUGCAUAUAUUAUUCGGGUUCCUAGUCACCUGAUGCUAAAAGCAAAUGCCUCGGUUGUUGAGGUAAUCUAAAUUACCUCUCUGAUUGUCCCUGGCCGUGAUCUCAGCAUAAUGAAGCAGUCCCAAAUUUUUAAACUGCUUGGGUUGCAGAAAUAUGACGUCCAUGGAGCAUGAUCACGCUUACAUUUAAAUUGAGGUAUGUGAAUUUCUUGAUAUUCUACGUCUGAAAAUCAGUUGUUCUCGGGUUUCUGAAGAUCGUCAUAAGAGUUUCAGGUUAUUCUUUAGCUCCCUUUGCAGUUUGCAUGCAGUUCUCGGGGUUUUUGUCUGUUUUCUGUAAGUGUAGCCGUGUUACCAUCUAGAUGACUAUGCGACAGGAAUUUUACUUUUGAAGAUCGUAUAGCUGGUUGGGGUUGUCAUUUCUAUUUUGAUUAAUUUAUAUAUGAUGUUUACAUUGUUGAAAGUGCAAACUAUUUUUCUCUAAAUAGUGUGGAAUGACUACUACAAUGAGUGUUUUGUC